rnacentral:lncRNA from 1 species
UGGAGUGCAGUGGUGUGAUCUCUGCUCACUGCAACCUCUGCCUUCCAGGUUCAAGUGAUUCUCCUGUCUCAGCCUCCCAAGUAGCUGGGACUACAGGCACGUGCCACCAUGCCCAGCUGAUUUUUUGUAUUUUUUUAGUAGAGACAGGGUUUCACCAUGUUGGCCAAGAUGAUCUCUAUCUCCUGACCUCGUGAUCUGCCCGCCUUGACCUCCCAAAGUGCUGGGAUAAUAGGCAUGAGCCACCGCACCCGGCCGCCCCACUAAAUCUUUUAAAAACACUUUUGAGCCUUUAUCUUCUAAAUAGUAAACUAUGCAAUUUCAGAGAGAUUAUUCCAGCCCCAACGUUUUCAUAUUAUGAGUUGGUUUUUCCCAAUAGGAAAGACUUGUCUGUUCCAUUUUUCCUAAACCCAGUUCUCCAACACCAACCGGGUGUCCCACAAUUCAAUUAAAUUCUGAUACCACCUAGCAUUUAGUGCAGACUCCACAGGUUAAAUACUCAAUCCCACAAGACUGACCCCACUUCAGAUGCCAGCCGCAAAUGGGGUCCCCAGGCUAACUGCACUUCUGCCUAGGGACUACAAAUUGGGGGCUUUCCAUGACCCCCCUCAAUAAGUUUGGCAUUUUGCUAGAAUUAUCAGAGGCGUUUGAACCAGAAUAACUCCAUCUUGAAUAAUGGCUGGGUAAAAUGAGGCUGAGACCUACUGAGUUGCAUUCCAGGAGGUUAGGCAUUCUAAGUCACAGGAUGAGAUAGGAGAUCAGCAUAAGAUACAAGUCACAAAGACCUUGCUGAUAAAAGGGUGUGGUAAAGAAGCCAGUGAAAGUCCACCAAAAUCAAGACUCAAUGAAAGUGACCUCUGGUUAUCCUUACUGCUCAUUAUAUGCUAACUAUAAUACAUUGGCAUGCUAAGAAACACUCCCACCAGCACCAUGACAGUUUACAGAUGCCAUGGCAAUGUUGGGAAGUUACCUAUAUGGUCUAAAAAAAGUAGGAAGCCUCAGUUCUGAGAAUUGCUCACCCUCUUCCUGGAAAACUCACGAAUAAUCCACCCCUUGUUCGGCGUAUAAUCAAGAAGUAACCAUAAAAAUAGCCAACCAGCAGCCCCGAGGGCUGCUGUGGAAUAGCCUGUGGAAUAGCCAUUCUUUAUUCCUUUACUUUCCAAUAACCUUGAUUUCACUUUACUCUACGGAUUUGCCCGGAAGUCUUCCUUGCACGAGGUCCAAGAACCCUCUUCUGGGGUCAAGAUCGGGACUCUUUUGGGCAACAAUGACUCACAGAAUUCAGAAAAUCCCUACACUUAUGAUUACAGUUUUAUUAUGAAGCAUACAACUCAGAUACAGCCAAAUGGUAGAGAUUCAUAGGGCAAGGUAUGGUUGGGGAGCAGGCACGAAAACAGAACUUCCAAGCCCCCUCCAGGCACACCAUCCUCCCAACACAUCCAUAUGUCACCAACCCAGAAGCUCCUAGCCUCCUUGCUGCAGUUUUAACCAAGUUUUUAUCACACAGGUUUGACUGAUAAAAUCACUGGCUGUUGUUGAGUGAACCCAAUCUCCAGCCCCUUUCCCUUCCCAGAGAUCAGGGAUUGCAGCUAAAAGUUCUAACCCUGUAAUCACAUGGUUGGUUCCUCCGGCAACUAGUCCCCAUCCCGUAGCUACCUGGGGGCCCACCAAGAGUCCAAGGAUCACAUUAGCACAAACUCAGAAGGAGGAUGGAAAGAACUGAGGAAGCAGUAAAAGCAUUCAGGCCGUACGAGCAUAUAGAAAAAACUUGCAAAGAAAAAUGAAGAAACGCCUGCUCAUUAGCCAUCUGCCACUUCACCAAUGCCAGGAAAUUCCGGGCAGCUGUUUUUUAUAAAGUGGAUAAUUCACAUAAUUGUGUUGGGGACUUCCAGCUAUGAAGAACUGUUAGAACAUUUGAAAAUUAGUGUUCCCAAGUUGUACUGUGAUACAAAAGCCCAGUGAAUUCUUCAAACUUCCACCUCUUACAGGAAUCUGAGAAAACCAGAUAAUGUUUACAUCUACGCAUGGGGAAGGAAGGCUUGGCAGAUUAUUGGUAUCGAAAGGAAUUCUUUUUAGUUAGUUUUUAACCCUACCUGUCUUGUGAAUGUGCUAUGUACAGGCUCUUUGUAAGUCUUCAACCAUGCAGCAAAAUCCAUCUAGCCACUCAAAGAUUGGUAAUAGCAUAAUUGUCUAAUGUGUGUCUUUUCAGGAAAUUGAAAUUGAUAUGUUGUAUCUCCCUCAUGCCAAAAUUUUAUAAAAAUCAUUUCUAAGCCUAAUGACAUGUAAACUGAAUUACCCCCUCCAAAUAUUUACUCUAAAAGCAAGUGGACAAUUUCUGUAGAAUUCCUAAGAUAAUCAUCUCCUGCUAAAAACAAAAUCUACAUUCAAUUUAUAAGAUGCCUUUGUAUUCUCUUUAAGAAGAUGAACCUAUAGUGAAAAAGCUCAAAAACAAAUUAAAUAUAAAACUUUCCUUCUACUAGUGGUGCUGGGCACCGAAUACCUGCAAUUUCACAUAAUGCAAAGCACAUUUGAGAACAAUGAACACACACCUCACGUUGACUUCCCCUCCUCUGACUUGAGCAAGAAAUUCCCCUUCUCUUCAUCUUGGUUAUUCCCUGUAAGUCUCAGUUUCCACAUCUCCACAGAACAGAGAAUAACAUGCAACCUGCUCCACACAGUGGUUGCAAGAAUUAAAUUUGAUCAGGCAAUCAAAUAUUUUGUACACAUUUCAUAUGCUCAGCUGCCUCAAGAAGCUCUAGUUAGACAAAACAAACAUGGUGGAAACAAUUGCAUGUAACUGAGGGCUAAAUAACAUGGAAAAGAUGCAACAUGUAUCCAUAGACUUGUGGACAGUGUAUUCACAGGAGGCAAUAAAGGCAGUGAGAAUACCUAGGAAAUGUUUCCUGGAAAUGCUAUCCUUGAUCUCAGCUUGAAGGAUGGUCAGAGGACAGGAUACAUACAGCCCCAAGAAGAGGAGAGGGGAUUCCAUCUACUCUUAUCUCUUUCACUCCCCUGCUCACAGUUGAUACUUAGCCAGCAUCACCUGGAAACAUGAGAGUUGAAAAGCAAAUCUCCAGACCCAUCCCAGUCCUAUGGACUCAGCACUCUCAGGUGGGGCUCAGAGAUCUGUUUUAACCAGCCUUCCAGCUGGACUUCUGAACACUCAAGUUUGGGAACCACUGCUGUUGCUUUGCUUGAUCUUACCUCCUCUCUUCGGUGACCACAAGUUCUUUCCACCUGACCAACUCCUGCAGUUUUUGCAGCUGUAAAUUUCACUUUCAUUUCCUCCAGAGAGCAUGCCCAACCUGCACUGGAGUCUAGUUUGUCCAUGCAUGUCCCAACCCCAGCCCUAGGUUAGGUAUUUUGGCCCUGUGUCAUACUUUCCUUGACAAGGUACUCAGGGCAUGUCAUUUUGCUUGUUUAAUUGCCUUCCUGAUAACCUACUAGCUCCAUAAAGGCAGGUACUGAGUCUAUUUUGUUCACAUCACUUCAUUCUCAGAGCCUUGCACACUGUAAGGUACUUUGUUAAUACCUGUUGGAUAAAUAAGUAAAUCAAAGAAGCCACGAAACAAUUGGUUUUGAAUAGUAUAAAGUACUAUAAAAUCAGGAAUAUGAUACAUAUACAAUUAACAGAUGCAUUUGAAGUACCGGUUGUAGAAACACAGCUGAGUUUAGUUUGUCUUUGAGAAGAGUUUCAUGAAGAGAUUUGGGUUUCGAAAAUCUCUGCACUGAAAAUGCUACCAAUGUCACACCAUAUCACCUGAUAAGGUAGUAUUGAUUGUUUGUUAUUAUCAUUCUUGGCAGUAUUGCUUGUUUGUCAUUAUCAUUCAUUUUUCCUCCAUGACCAGAUUUUUCUGCCUUUGGAGCAAUUUGGCCCACAGAGGCUGGCAGACAAAACAGCCUCUCACCAGUGCAAGAGAAGGGCUGUGGGGAGGCUUACAUCUAAGAUUUGUGGGUGAAUAUUGGAAACAGUAACUCUUCACUUUAUUAUAAAGAAAAAGCUUUGGACCAAGAGUCCUAACACCUGAAUUCUAACUCUGGCUUCCUUCCUUCCCUCAUUUAAAUAUUUAAAUAUUUACUCUAUUCCGGGCCCUGUGCUUGGAUCUGAGCCUACAAUGGCGAACAAGACAUACACGUAGUCCCUCCCUCACCAAACCUAAAGGUCUGCUCAUCUGCUAUGGGCUACAGCCACUCCUGACUCCUACAGGACACCGAAC